rnacentral:rRNA from 1 species
GAUGAACGCUAGCUACAGGCUUAACACAUGCAAGUCGAGGGGAAACGACAUCGAAAGCUUGCUUUUGGUGGGCGUCGACCGGCGCACGGGUGAGUAACGCGUAUCCAACCUGCCCACCACUUGGGGAUAACCUUGCGAAAGUAAGACUAAUACCCAAUGAUAUCCCACGAAGGCAUCCGAAUGGGAUUAAAGAUUUAUCGGUGAUGGAUGGGGAUGCGUCUGAUUAGCUUGUUGGCGGGGUAACGGCCCACCAAGGCUACGAUCAGUAGGGGUUCUGAGAGGAAGGUCCCCCCACAUUGGAACUGAGACACGGUCCAAACUCCUACGGGAGGCAGCAGUGAGGAAUAUUGGUCAAUGGGCGAGAGCCUGAACCAGCCAAGUAGCGUGCAGGAUGACGGCCCUAUGGGUUGUAAACUGCUUUUUCAGGGGGAUAAAGUGAGUGACGUGUCAUUCAUUGCAGGUACCCUGCGAAUAAGGACCGGCUAAUUCCGUG